UACGUAGGGGGCAAGCGUUGUCCGGAUUUAUUGGGCGUAAAGAGCGUGUAGGCGGCCAGGUAGGUCAGCUGUGAAAACUCAAGGCUCAACCUCGAGACGCCGGUUGAAACCAUCUGGCUAGAGUCCGGAAGAGGAGAGUGGAAUUCCUGGUGUAGCGGUGAAAUGCGCAGAUAUCAGGAAGAACACCCGUGGCUAAGGCGGCUCUCUAGUACGGUACUGACGCUGAGACGCGAAAGCGUGGGGAGCGAACAGG
rnacentral:rRNA from 1 species